AUUGAACGCUGGCGGCAGGCUUAACACAUGCAAGUCGAACGAUGAUUAUCUAGCUUGCUAGAUAUGAUUAGUGGCGGACGGGUGAGUAACAUUUAGGAAUCUGCCUAGUAGUGGGGGAUAGCUCGGGGAAACUCGAAUUAAUACCGCAUACGACCUACGGGUGAAAGGGGGCGCAAGCUCUUGCUAUUAGAUGAGCCUAAAUCAGAUUAGCUAGUUGGUGGGGUAAAGGCCCACCAAGGCGACGAUCUGUAACUGGUCUGAGAGGAUGAUCAGUCACACCGGAACUGAGACACGGUCCGGACUCCUACGGGAGGCAGCAGUGGGGAAUAUUGGACAAUGGGGGCAACCCUGAUCCAGCCAUGCCGCGUGUGUGAAGAAGGCCUUUUGGUUGUAAAGCACUUUAAGCAGGGAGGAGAGGCUAAUGGUUAAUACCCAUUAGAUUAGACGUUACCUGCAGAAUAAGCACCGGCUAACUCUGUGCCAGCAGCCGCGGUAAUACAGAGGGUGCGAGCGUUAAUCGGAAUUACUGGGCGUAAAGCGAGUGUAGGUGGCUCAUUAAGUCACAUGUGAAAUCCCCGGGCUUAACCUGGGAACUGCAUGUGAUACUGGUGGUGCUAGAAUAUGUGAGAGGGAAGUAGAAUUCCAGGUGUAGCGGUGAAAUGCGUAGAGAUCUGGAGGAAUACCGAUGGCGAAGGCAGCUUCCUGGCAUAAUAUUGACACUGAGAUUCGAAAGCGUGGGUAGCAAACAGGAUUAGAUACCCUGGUAGUCCACGCCGUAAACGAUGUCUACUAGCCGUUGGGGUCCUUGAGACUUUAGUGGCGCAGUUAACGCGAUAAGUAGACCGCCUGGGGAGUACGGCCGCAAGGUUAAAACUCAAAUGAAUUGACGGGGGCCCGCACAAGCGGUGGAGCAUGUGGUUUAAUUCGAUGCAACGCGAAGAACCUUACCUGGUCUUGACAUAGUGAGAAUCCUGCAGAGAUGCGGGAGUGCCUUCGGGAAUUCACAUACAGGUGCUGCAUGGCUGUCGUCAGCUCGUGUCGUGAGAUGUUGGGUUAAGUCCCGCAACGAGCGCAACCCUUUUCCUUAUUUGCCAGCGGGUUAAGCCGGGAACUUUAAGGAUACUGCCAGUGACAAACUGGAGGAAGGCGGGGACGACGUCAAGUCAUCAUGGCCCUUACGACCAGGGCUACACACGUGCUACAAUGGUAGGUACAGAGGGUUGCUACACAGCGAUGUGAUGCUAAUCUCAAAAAGCCUAUCGUAGUCCGGAUUGGAGUCUGCAACUCGACUCCAUGAAGUCGGAAUCGCUAGUAAUCGCAGAUCAGAAUGCUGCGGUGAAUACGUUCCCGGGCCUUGUACACACCGCCCGUCACACCAUGGGAGUCUAUUGCACCAGAAGUAGGUAGCCUAACGAAAGAGGGCGCUUACCACGGUGUGGUCGAUGACUGGGGUG
rnacentral:rRNA from 1 species